ensembl:lncRNA
GGAGAGUGACGGGCAGGGUCUGCUCAGGACCGAGCAGAGGGUGUGACUGGGCCUUGGGGGCGAGCCUGACCUUGAAGGCUCUCCAGAAUCCAGCAUCAGAGGACUGUCUGACUCUUCUCACCUGUCCCCCUCUUUGAGGAACCCAGAAUCUCUGGGGCAGGGAUGAUGCUGAGCAAGCAUAGGCUGUGAAGCUGUGGCCUAGUGGAGGCUCUGGGGAUGGACCAGCCCUGGACACGUUGGAGUGAUGUGUUGGCACUUGACUCGGCCUGUGUACAGCUGUCCCCAUGACCUGGAGGCUUAGCCCUGAUCUCCUAGACCAAGAGUAGGAGGCCAGCGCUGACCCCUGCUCAUCGACUUCUCACCACCCAGGUAUAGUGCAAGACACUGGAGAAGCAAAUGACUGAAGUCCUGCCUAGUGGCAGCCCAAACUGACUAAGAUAUGAAGGAGGAGCAGGAUUGCCAAUAAGAACGUGAAAGUGAGAAGGUUCUGGGCGGAGAGAGCAGCAUGUGUCAAGGCCCAGAGUGGGACUGUUUCUGCUCACGGUGUCCAAGGACUCGACAGAAGAUCAAUGAAGAGACUGAGACCAGAGAGAUUAAGUAAUCAUCC